rnacentral:rRNA from 1 species
CCUACGGGAGGCAGCAGUGGGGAAUAUUGGACAAUGGGCGAAAGCCUGAUCCAGCCAUGCCGCGUGUGUGAAGAAGGUCUUCGGAUUGUAAAGCACUUUAAGUUGGGAGGAAGGGCAGUAAAUUAAUACUUUGCUGUUUUGACGUUACCGACAGAAUAAGCACCGGCUAACUCUGUGCCAGCAGCCGCAGUAAUACAGAGGGUGCAAGCGUUAAUCGGAAUUACUGGGCGUAAAGCGCGCGUAGGUGGUUCGUUAAGUUGGAUGUGAAAUCCCCGGGCUCAACCUGGGAACUGCAUUCAAAACUGACGAGCUAGAGUAUGGUAGAGGGUGGUGGAAUUUCCUGUGUAGCGGUGAAAUGCGUAGAUAUAGGAAGGAACACCAGUGGCGAAGGCGACCACCUGGACUGAUACUGACACUGAGGCGCGAAAGCGUGGGGAGCAAACAGGAUUAGAUACCCUGGUAGUCCACGCCGUAAACGAUGUCAACUAGCCGUUGGGAGCCUUGAGCUCUUAGUGGCGCAGCUAACGCAUUAAGUUGACCGCCUGGGGGAGUACGGCCGCGAAGGUUAAAACUCAAAUGAAUUGACGG